CGGAGGAUCCGAGCGUUAUCCGGAUUUAUUGGGUUUAAAGGGUGCGUAGGCGGCCUUUUAAGUCAGCGGUGAAAGUCUGUGGCUCAACCAUAGAAUUGCCGUUGAAACUGGGGGCUUGAGUAUGUUUGAGGCAGGCGGAAUGCGUGGUGUAGCGGUGAAAUGCAUAGAUAUCACGCAGAACCCGAUUGCGAAGGCAGCCUGCCAAGCCAUGACUGACGCUGAUGCACGAAAGCGUGGGAUCAAACAGGAUU
rnacentral:rRNA from 1 species